AGACUUUGAUCCUGGCUCAGAUUGAACGCUGGCGGCAUGCUUUACACAUGCAAGUCGAACGGUAACAGGUCUUCGGAUGCUGACGAGUGGCGAACGGGUGAGUAAUGCAUCGGAACGUGCCCAGUCGUGGGGGAUAACGCAGCGAAAGCUGUGCUAAUACCGCAUACGAUCUGCGGAUGAAAGCGGGGGACCUUCGGGCCUCGCGCGAUUGGAGCGGCCGAUGUCAGAUUAGGUAGUUGGUGGGGUAAAGGCUCACCAAGCCAACGAUCUGUAGCUGGUCUGAGAGGACGACCAGCCACACUGGGACUGAGACACGGCCCAGACUCCUACGGGAGGCAGCAGUGGGGAAUUUUGGACAAUGGGCGCAAGCCUGAUCCAGCAAUGCCGCGUGCAGGAAGAAGGCCUUCGGGUUGUAAACUGCUUUUGUACGGAACGAAAAGCUCUGGGCCAAUACCCUGGGGUCAUGACGGUACCGUAAGAAUAAGCACCGGCGUA
rnacentral:rRNA from 1 species